rnacentral:rRNA from 1 species
CCUACGGGAGGCUGCAGUGAGGAAUAUUGGUCAAUGGGCGCGAGCCUGAACCAGCCAAGUCGCGUGAGGGAUGACUGCCCUAUGGAUUGUAAACCUCUUUUGUCGGGGAGCAAAAGACGCCACGUGUGGCUUUCCGAGUGUACCCGAUGAAAAAGCAUCGGCUAACUCCGUGCCAGCAGCCGCGGUAAUACGGAGGAUGCGAGCGUUAUCCGGAUUUAUUGGGUUUAAAGGGUGCGCAGGUGGAAUAUAAAGUCAGCGGUAAAAUUUUGAGGCCCAACCUCAUCGUGCCGUUGAAACUGGUUUUCUUGAGUGAGCGAGAAGUAUGCGGAAUGCGUGGUGUAGCGGUGAAAUGCAUAGAUAUCACGAAGAACUCCGAUUGCGAAGGCAGCAUACCGGCGCUCAACUGACGCUGAUGCACGAAAGUGUGGGUAUCGAACAGGAUUAGAUACCCGAGUAGUC